CCCUUAGAUGUUCUGGGCCGCACGCGUGCUACACUGAGUGGAUCAGCGGGUCAGGUUGCGCGAAAGCGUUUCCUAAUCUUUAAAUCCGCUCGUGAUGGGGAUUGACGGUUGCAAUUUUCUGUCAUGAACGAGGAAUACCUUGUAAGCGCGGGUCAUCAUCCCGCGCUGAAUAUGUCCCUGCCCUUUGUACACACCGCCCGUCGCUCCUACCGAUUGAGUGGUCCGGUGAGGCUUUGGGAUCUGAGCGGAAAGAGCGUUUCGCUGUUUCUGCUCGGAAAACUCAGUCGAACCUUAUCAUUUAGAGGAAGGAGAAGUCGUAACA
rnacentral:rRNA from 1 species